rnacentral:rRNA from 1 species
GAGUUCGCUCGCCACCAGGACCACAAUAUAAACCUUUUUUAUGCAGUUGCAAUCAGCGUCAGUAUAACAAAUGUAAAUCAUUUACAACUUUCAACAACGGAUCUCUUGGUUCUGGCAUCGAUGAAGAACGCAGCGAAAUGCGAUACGUAGUGUGAAUU